rnacentral:rRNA from 1 species
CCGGCGCACGGGUGAGUAACGCGUAUGUAAUCUACCUGUAACAGAGGGAUAACCCGGAGAAAUCCGGACUAAUACCUCAUAGCACAUAUUAUUCGCAUGAAUUUUAUGUUAAAGAGACUCGGUUACAGAUGAACAUGCGUUCCAUUAGCUAGCUGGCGGGGUUACGGCCCACCAAGGCAACGAUGGAUAGGGGUUCUGAGAGGAAGGUCCCCCACACUGGUACUGAGACACGGACCAG